rnacentral:rRNA from 1 species
AUUGAACGCUGGCGGCAUGCUUUACACAUGCAAGUCGAACGGCAGCGCGGGCUUCGGCCUGGCGGCGAGUGGCGAACGGGUGAGUAAUGCAUCGGAACGUGCCCAGUAGUGGGGGAUAGCCCGGCGAAAGCCGGAUUAAUACCGCAUACGACCUGAGGGUGCAAGCGGGGGACCGAAAGGCCUCGCGCUAUUGGAGCGGCCGAUGUCGGGUUAGCUAGUUGGUGGGGUAAAGGCUUACCAAGGCGACGAUCCGUAGCUGGUCUGAGAAGACGACCAGCCACACGGGGACUGAGACACGGCCCAGACUCCUACGGGAGGCAGCAGUGGGGAAUUUUGGACAAUGGGGGCAACCCUGAUCCAGCCAUGCCGCGUGCGGGAAGAAGGCCUUCGGGUUGUAAACCGCUUUUGUUCGGGAAGAAAUCCUCUGGGCUAAUACCCCGGGGGGAUGACGGUACCGGAAGAAUAAGCACCGGCUAACUACGUG